AGAGUUUGAUCAUGGCUCAGGACGAACGCUGGCGGCGUGCUUAACACAUGCAAGUCGGGCGGUAAGGCCCCUUCGGGGGUACACGAGCGGCGAACGGGUGAGUAACACGUGAGCAAUCUGCCCUUCACAUCGGGAUAACCCUCGGAAACGAGAGCUAAUACCGGAUACGACCACCUCGGGCAUCCGAUGGUGGUGGAAAGCUCCGGCGGUGGAGGAUGAGCUCGCGGCCUAUCAGCUUGUUGGUGGGGUAAUGGCCCACCAAGGCAACGACGGGUAGCCGGCCUGAGAGGGUGACCGGCCACACUGGGACUGAGACACGGCCCAGACUCCUACGGGAGGCAGCAGUGGGGAAUAUUGGACAAUGGGCGAAAGCCUGAUCCAGCAACGCCGCGUGAGGGAUGACGGCCUUCGGGUUGUAAACCUCUUUCAGCUCCGACGAAGCGCAAGUGACGGUACCUGCAGGAGAAGGACCGGCCAACUACGUGCCAGCAGCCGCGGUAAUAC
rnacentral:rRNA from 1 species